rnacentral:lncRNA from 1 species
GGGGACCUAUAACACAUUCAAAACUGAAGACCUUCGUGGAACACUAUCGAUUUAUUUCCUCCAAAGGCUUCAGCAGAAGGGACAGCUACUCAGAGUACAACUUUUUUUCCAGCAAAAGAAGGCAUUCUGAAAAGUCUAGUGGAGCCAUAAGACAAUUAUAUAGCAGCUUCCCCAGGUAAGAAACAAAUCAGAGUAAUGCUACAUCACCACGUGAAAUACACAAAUUAGAUGGAGAUGCAUUAACUAGUGUCAUUCAUCAGUCUACAGUGAUACAAUUUAUUACAUGAUAAUAAUGGCCAGAGCUGUAUAAGUAGUAAAGGUAAAAUUACAUCAUAACUUGCAUUAGCAGUAUGAGAUUAUAUCCUGAUUAAUGCACAAUUAACUUGUCAUGUGUACAAUGCAUGUGUUUGGAGGUGGACAGAUGGGUUACACUAUGUCUACAUAUGUAGCAUUUAUCACUUUUUCCUAACCCAAAAUUGGAUAUAGGGCUACAUCUACUAAAACACUUAGCCAACCCACCGGCUUAGUGUAGAGCCACCUAGAGUCUGCAUCAGUGAGAAUCCCUUGGAGAUGAGAACAUCUUUAAAACGUGCAAGAAUCCUCUUCCCCUCUACAGACUGGCAACCUCAUCCAUAGCUCCACAGAGAUACACGUAUCUCUGAGCUGAAAGCAACAACCUUAAAUGCGCUUCUGAUGGCAGGCACAGUCACCUGAACUGAGUUCAGAGUUCAUACCACAGCUACAUAUCCCAAGGGAAAGCCCCCAAGAGCACUAAAUGACCACAGAUGAGGAAUUUUUAACUCCUUUUUUUAUUCAGAUUUAUCAGGGAAAGAAUAAUUAAGCUAGAGGGAGAGUUAUUUGGGAAGCAUUUUUACUUUUAAUUGCAUUUAUGUGUCAGGGUCCCCCAGCU